AUUGAACGCUGGCGGCAGGCCUAACACAUGCAAGUCGAGCGGCAGCGACUUAACUGAACCUUCGGGGAACGUUAAGGGCGGCGAGCGGCGGACGGGUGAGUAAUGCCUGGGAAUAUGCCCUGAUGUGGGGGAUAACUAUUGGAAACGAUGGCUAAUACCGCAUAAUCUCUUCGGAGCAAAGAGGGGGACCUUCGGGCCUCUCGCGUCAGGAUUAGCCCAGGUGGGAUUAGCUUGUUGGUGAGGUAAUGGCUCACCAAGGCAACGAUCCCUAGCUGGUCUGAGAGGAUGAUCAGCCACACUGGAACUGAGACACGGUCCAGACUCCUACGGGAGGCAGCAGUGGGGAAUAUUGCACAAUGGGGGAAACCCUGAUGCAGCCAUGCCGCGUGUGUGAAGAAGGCCUUCGGGUUGUAAAGCACUUUCAGUAGGGAGGAAGGUAGUGUAGUUAACACCUGCAUUAUUUGACGUUACCUACAGAAGAAGCACCGGCUAACUCCGUGCCAGCAGCCGCGGUAAUACGGAGGGUGCGAGCGUUAAUCGGAAUUACUGGGCGUAAAGCGCAUGCAGGCGGCCUGUUAAGUCAGAUGUGAAAGCCCGGGGCUUAACCUCGGAAUUGCAUUUGAAACUGGCAGGCUAGAGUCUUGUAGAGGGGGGUAGAAUUUCAGGUGUAGCGGUGAAAUGCGUAGAGAUCUGAAGGAAUACCAGUGGCGAAGGCGGCCCCCUGGACAAAGACUGACGCUCAGAUGCGAAAGCGUGGGGAGCAAACAGG
rnacentral:rRNA from 1 species